rnacentral:rRNA from 1 species
AGCGGCGGACGGGUGAGUAAUGCCUGGGAAUAUGCCUUGAUGUGGGGGAUAACCAUUGGAAACGAUGGCUAAUACCGCAUAAUGCCUACGGGCCAAAGAGGGGGAUCUUCGGACCUCUCGCGUCAAGAUUAGCCCAGGUGGGAUUAGCUAGUUGGUGAGGUAAUGGCUCACCAAGGCGACGAUCCCUAGCUGGUCUGAGAGGAUGAUCAGCCACACUGGAACUGAGACACGGUCCAGACUCCUACGGGAGGCAGCAGUGGGGAAUAUUGCACAAUGGGCGCAAGCCUGAUGCAGCCAUGCCGCGUGUGUGAAGAAGGCCUUCGGGUUGUAAAGCACUUUCAGUCGUGAGGAAGGUAGUUGCGUUAAUAGCGUAAUUAUUUGACGUUAGCGACAGAAGAAGCACCGGCUAACUCCGUGCCAGCAGCCGCGGUAAUACGGAGGGUGCGAGCGUUAAUCGGAAUUACUGGGCGUAAAGCGCA